rnacentral:rRNA from 1 species
AACGAACGCUGGCGGCAUGCCUAACACAUGCAAGUCGAACGAGACCUUCGGGUCUAGUGGCGCACGGGUGCGUAACGCGUGGGAACCUGCCCUUAGGUUCGGAAUAACUCCCCGAAAGGGGUGCUAAUACCGGAUAAUGUCUUCGGACCAAAGAUUUAUCGCCUUUGGAUGGGCCCGCGUUGGAUUAGCUAGUUGGUAGGGUAAAAGCCUACCAAGGCGACGAUCCAUAGCUGGUCUGAGAGGAUGAUCAGCCACACUGGGACUGAGACACGGCCCAGACUCCUACGGGAGGCAGCAGUGGGGAAUAUUGGACAAGGGGCGAAAGCCUGAGCCAGCAAUGCCGCGUGAGUGAUGAAGGCCUGAGGGUUGUAAAGCUCUUUUACCCGGGAUGAUAAUGACAGUACCGGGAGAAUAAGCUCCGGCUAACUCCG